AAGGGCUCUCAGGGAUUCCUCCCUUUACACCGAAUUCCUGAACCAAGUAUGCAGACACUUCUCUCGCGAGAGAUGCUCAUGGGCGUCGGAUAGACUCCUGUGCCACCGCGAGGAAGUGUUAUCACCCGGAGAGCGACACAUCCGUGUAAUUUUAUCGUGGUAGGUGUGUCGGUCAAAAAUCUUAGGUUUUUUCAAAUAUCGGUUUUGCAUAGCCGUUCUUUCUGUCUGUGACCGUUUUGGAGAAAAGAAGUGCGCGUCGUGUAAAAUAAAGCAAAGUAAGGAAAUGUUAAGCCUUACUAAUUAGAAAACCUAAAAAGUGUUAAAAACUAAAUAAAAAGUACGGUAAAAAGGUGGUUAAAAGUACAAAGACCACAUACAGUGAACACAAAAUUCUACGAAAGACAAUAUAAAAAGGUCCAAAGGGGCCUUUUUUGUAUUUUUCGCUUAAUAGCACACGACGCAGACGAAAGCUAAUCCGGACAGAAGAAAGCGAUCGGAAUACCUUACAUCCGACCGAUUUACCACUCUGGCUUUGCGAAGGACGCAUCAACUGGUAACCUCAAACUGCUGAUCGAGGGCUCUUCCGGGACGCCGGACAAGAGCCUAUGAUAAUAGGAAGGGGACCGAAAACAUCCACCCCACAAUGCAUUCACCGAAAACAUCCGCCAUGCAAUGCAGUUCACCGAAACCACGAAUUCGUGUCCCGGAUUCAACGGGAGGCCAAAAAGUUGACCAUCCGUCCAAGUGUGCUAAGCUAACCGCAAGUAUUAGAAAUGUCAGUGACGUCGGUAGGGAACAUCUACGUAAA